CAAAGCCAGCGGCGCCCAGCGAGCCAUCGCGCUCCAGGUCCAGGAGGAACCUCCGGCCGCCCGCGUAGACGAGGAGGCGAGACUUUCUCUGCCGGCCAGUGGGAAGUUGCAGUUGAAAUUUAUCCUGGUGAUCACCUAAGGCCGCUUCCUCCGGGUACCAGAGAGGAGCUGAGAGCAGAGACCAGAGCGAUUGCCUGCGGUUAACAAGUCCACCGGUGGUCAGCUCUCCUGAAUCCUGAAAACUUGACUCCUUCAGUCGGUGCUCAAUCGACAGACAGCACCUCUUAAAAUCUAUCCAGUUUCGCAAAUGUCUGUCGAGGGCUGGCUACCAAGUGCUGUGUGAAGUUCUCCGGAGACACAUAAACAUGAAUAAGCCAUGAUUGACAUUCAGAGAGGCUCACGGUUCACAGAGGAGCCAAUUGUACCAGGAGCUGCUUGGACUACAGGCUGGAAAAUGCAAAUAUGGAGGGAAAAAGGCAAGAGAGUAACUAACCCCUGCGGGCGCUCUGAGCUAUGUAUUUCCAGGACAGCUUCACUCCAUAGGACUUGUGUAUCCUUCGAAGUUUGCUGCAAUCCUGGUAAAGCUAUUGUCUCUGCUAUGUGCCUAGGACAUAUUACAGAACAUUCUAUCUGUUGUGAUGGAUAACAUCAUACACUUCAGAAUCAGUUUGCUGAAAAUAAAAAAAUCAUUUUGGAAACAUGAAAUGAGACUGCCUGAAUGACGAUUUGAUUCUACAUCGCAGGAAGAACCCUACCUGUCAAUCACCA